rnacentral:rRNA from 1 species
UACGAAGGGGGCUAGCGUUGCUCGGAAUCACUGGGCGUAAAGCGCUCGUAGGCGGUUUGUUAAGUCAGGGGUGAAAUCCUGGAGCUCAACUCCAGAACUGCCUUUGAUACUGGCGAUCUCGAGUCCGGGAGAGGUGAGUGGAACUGCGAGUGUAGAGGUGAAAUUCGUAGAUAUUCGCAAGAACACCAGUGGCGAAGGCGGCUCACUGGCCCGGUACUGACGCUGAGGUGCGAAAGCGUGGGGAGCAAACAGG